rnacentral:rRNA from 1 species
UUCCCAUUUCGAACAGAGAAGUUAAGCCUGCUUGCGCUGAUGGUACUGUCCUUUUGAGGAUGGGAGAGUAAGUCGACGCCGAUU